UUAUCAAAAACAUGUCCGUAUGAAUUUAAAUAUAAGGUCUGGCCUGCCCAUUGAGUUUUAAAAGGCCGCGGUAAUCUGACCGUGCAAAGGUAGCAUAGUCAUUAGUUUYUUAAUUGGAAACUUGUAUGAAAGGUUGGAUGAGAAAUAAGCUGUCUUGUUUAUAAAAUUUGAAUUUAACUUUUAAGUGAAAAGGCUUAAAUGAAAUAAAGGGACGAUAAGACCCUAUAAAACUUUAUAUAAGGUGGUGUGUUUUUUAUGGUUAUGCGUUUAUUAGGGAAUACUUCAUAUUUAUUAUACUGGGGCGGUAGGAAUAUAAUUUGAUAACUGUUCUUGAAAAAUACAAUAAUAUUUGUUUUGGUUGAUCCUUGUUUAAAGAUUGAAAGGUAAAGUUACUUUAGGGAUAACAGCGUAAUUUUUUUUGAGAGUUCAUAUCGACAAAAAAGAUUGCGACCUCGAUGUUGAAUUAAAAUUUCCUAAUGGUGCAGCAGUUAUUUGGGAAGGUCUGUUCGACCUUUAAAUUUUUAC
rnacentral:rRNA from 1 species